GACGAACGCUGGCGGCGUGCUUAACACAUGCAAGUCGAACGGAAAGGCCCUGCUUUGGGGGGGUGCUCGAGUGGCGAACGGGUGAGUAACAAGUGAGUAACCUUCCCUUGACUUUGGGAUAACUUCAGGAAACUGGGGCUAAUACCGGAAAGGAUCUCCUGCUGCAUGGUGGGGGUUGGAAAGUUUCGGCGGUUGGGGAUGGACUCGCGGCUUAUCAGCUUGUUGGUGGGGUAGUGGCUUACCAAGGCUUUGACGGGUAGCCGGCCUGAGAGGGUGACCGGCCACAUUGGGACUGAGAUACGGCCCAGACUCCUACGGGAGGCAGCAGUGGGGAAUAUUGCACAAUGGGCGGAAGCCUGAUGCAGCAACGCCGCGUGCGGGAUGACGGCCUUCGGGUUGUAAACCGCUUUCGGCUGUGACGAAGCGUGAGUGACGGUAAUUGGUAAAGAAGCACCGGCUAACUACGUG
rnacentral:rRNA from 1 species